AAGUCGUAACAAGGUUUCCGUAGGUGAACCUGCGGAAGGAUCAUUAACACGUGAUACUCACGUAUUUAAAUUCACCGUGAAUUUGUUUUCUAACCUAUUGUUGAUUGUAAAUAGAUUAUAUAAGGGAAUACUAUUGACCGCCUUUCGAAAGAUUGUACGUCAUAACUUAUAUAGUCGUUCUUUGGUCCGCCCAGGAGUUUGCACCAAUAAAUAGAUGAUGAAUUACGACUGCUUAUUAAGCCUGUAGUAUAGCUUGCAGCUCGUAGUGAACUUAUUAACCCCUUUCUAUUAUUUAAUGAUUUGUAUGUUUAUAUGAAUUCCUGAUCUUCGGAUUGGUUGAGUUUAUGUAGAUGUCGUAUAUUACUAAUACGAAACAACUCUUAGCAACGGAUAUCUUGGUUCUCGUAACGAUGAAGAACGUAGC
rnacentral:misc_RNA from 1 species